ACGGGGCCCGGCACAAGCGGUGGAGCACGUGGUUUAAUUCGAUGCAAACCGAAGAACCUUACCUGGGUUUGACAUGUACGUGUUACUGAUCUGAGAGGAGAGGGACCCAUGCUUCGGUAUGGGAGCGUACACAGGUGCUGCAUGGCUGUCGUCAGCUCGUGUCGUGAGAUGUUGGGUUAAGUCCCGCAACGAGCGCAACCCUGCAUCCAGUUGCCAUCGGGCGAGCCGGGCACUCUGGAGGGACUGCCGGCGACAAGCCGGAGGAAGGUGGGGAUGACGUCAAGUCAUCAUGGCCCCUAUGUCCAGGGCGACACACGUGCUACAAUGGCCGGCACAGCGGGAAGCGGAGGGGCGACCCUGAGCGGAUCCCUUGAAAGCCGGUCCCAGUUCGGAUUGCAGUCUGCAACUCGACUGCAUGAAGUUGGAAUCGCUAGUAAUCGCGGAUCAGCCAAGCCGCGGUGAAUACGUUCCCGGGCCUU
rnacentral:rRNA from 1 species